UGGCUCAGGACGAACGCUGGCGGCAGGCCUAACACAUGCAAGUCGAGCGGCAGCGGGAAAGUAGCUUGCUACUUUUGCCGGCGAGCGGCGGACGGGUGAGUAAUGCCUGGGAAAUUGCCCAGUCGAGGGGGAUAACAGUUGGAAACGACUGCUAAUACCGCAUACGCCCUACGGGGGAAAGCAGGGGACCUUCGGGCCUUGCGCGAUUGGAUAUGCCCAGGUGGGAUUAGCUAGUUGGUGAGGUAAUGGCUCACCAAGGCGACGAUCCCUAGCUGGUCUGAGAGGAUGAUCAGCCACACUGGAACUGAGACACGGUCCAGACUCCUACGGGAGGCAGCAGUAGGA
rnacentral:rRNA from 1 species